GAAAAAACAACACGCUGGAAGUUCCUCAAGACAGCUUGUCAGCUCCAUCAGAGCAGUAUCGCAGUCUCUGUCUUUGUCAGUUGAAUAUGACACAGCUCGGGAUGACAGGGAUGACAUGUAAGGUGCUGGCUGGCCGCUGGCCUGGAUCACAGCGGGCUCUGGUUACACACGAGGUGGACAGCACUCAGCACUGUCCUCUAGCACUACGGAAGGACUCCAGAUGUUGGUGGAUCAAUAACUGUUUACUGACUGAGCAGCAUCUCAAUCAGUGCUGAUUGGAGUGGAAAGUAAAGGUCGGAUCAGGUGUCAGCAGACAAAUCUCUGUUUUUUAUUCAGGGAUGUUGUGGACCUUCAGACCUGUAGGCAGAAUCAAGAAAGUCAGAUCUUAGAGGCAAUCCUGUGAUGUUGAGGCCCCUGGUAGAUGACUACCAAGCCCCAAAAUUGCUGACAUACCAGCGAACCAACAGGGCCCAGUCUGGUGGACCAAAGGACCUUCAGAAAGGAUGGCCCAAAAGAACAGCCAGUGGUCCAUCAAACCUCUGCUGACAAGGACCAGCAUAAGGGCCAUCAUAUAAAAUCAAUCAACCCCCAGGACUACUGAUGGACUGCUGGACCUGCAGGACUACUGAUGUACUUCUGGACCUUCAGAACAGCUGAUGGACUGCUGGACCUCCAGGAGAACUGAUGUACUUCUGGACCUUCAGAACAACUGAUGGACUGCUGGACCUCCAGGAGAACUGAUGUACUUCUGGACCUUCAGAACAACUGAUGGACUGCUGGGCCUCCAAGACAACUGAUGGACUGCUGAGCCUCCAGGAUAAAUGAUGUACUGCUGGACCUUCAGGACAACAGAUGAGAAGCUAGACCUCCAGAAAAACGUAUGGACCUCUGAGCUCAAGUGUGGCGGUAAGGCUAAUCGAUCACAUCACCUUCAGAAAACAGAAUUGCUGACAUACCAUCAAACCUUCAGGAAAACUGAAGAUUGACGGACCUCUGCACCACCAAUAUCCUAGAUGGCUGAAAAUCCAUCAGGCCUCCAGGACAGCUGAUGAGGUUUUUGAUCACCAGGAUAAUUGGACCAUUAUGUUUCUCUAAAGUGGAGGGCCACUGAACCUCCUGGGUAGCUGGUAGACCACUCGACUUAUAGGAGCCAGGUAAUUUGGCUGACCACAUGAUUGCCAGGACAGCCUCAUCUGGCUGGUUCAGUGCUCCAAUGAAGAUCUGGCAAUGUAUGUGAGCCAUGCAGACCAGCAGGUGCAGUGCUGUUGCUGUCCGUGGUUCUGUAAUCUCUUUCUAUCACUUUCAAAAGAAAAUAUGUUAAGAUGUUUCCCUCCAGUCAUGUGGAAAUUUGUAAAUUAUGUACAGCUUUAUUUUUUGUUUAUGUUGUACUGAAGCCAUUGUGGUUUUAGGUUGCAUGUGUGCAAUGAAUUAUGCUGAGGGAAAGAGGUUUUAGAUUUCACUGGGUGACAGCUGCAAUACAGAGCUUAAAAUGUCUCAACAGCAUUCGUUUGCUCACUUGUUUAUGUAUCAUUUUCAAACCUCUGCAUCUUCUUGUAAUACAUAAAUACAGGACAAUGACAAUGCCUUUUGAAUUUACUUUUAGUCAAACAGUAUUAUCAUUGUUUGUUUGUUUUUUGCCUCAAGCAUGUUUUCUAAAUAAAAAACAACUUUAAAAGUAAGAACCUUCAAAAAAAAAGUUACUUUCCAAGACUGAAAAUAUGUUGUACAUACCGUGAAUAAAUCUUCUAAAUGUUG